UCCCUGGUGGUCCAAUGGCUUAAGACUCUGUGCUCCCAAUGCAGAGGGUCUGGGUUCGAUCCCUGGUCAGGGAA
rnacentral:tRNA from 1 species